GGGGUAUUAGUUAAAUAAUAACAUCACCUUGUCAAGAUGAAGCUAUGGGUUAAACCCCCCAUAUAUCCCU
rnacentral:tRNA from 1 species